rnacentral:lncRNA from 1 species
UUUUUGCAUGGUUCUUGAUGUAUAUAGUUUAACCAAAAUCUUGCAUGAAACCCGAUUGUCUUGAUUUAAUUAAUUGAUUAAAUUCUAUUUGGGCAAUUAAUUGAAUUGAUGACUUUAGGACUAUUUAGUUACAUCAUUUUCAAAACAAAUGCAUGUUCCCUUAGGAUAGUUUGUAACAAAUUAUAACCAUUAGCUUAGGUUUUAACCUAGUUCUCAAAAUUAUUUCGAACCUUUCGACUCAAGUUGAUCAAAAGUAAUUUUGAUCAACUAAAUCCUUUGAUAUUG